rnacentral:lncRNA from 1 species
CAGCUUUGUCCAAGCAGUGUUUUCCAGCCUGGGAGCCUCAUGUGGUCUCACACCAAGUAUCAGCCCUAGGGUGGUCACUGGCUGCCAAGAAAAAAUCCAGCACUGGUAAGUAAAAAAAUCCUACAUGUCUAAAAUACUGAUGAGUAACCUAGUUAUGCUUUAGUAAAGUAUUGCUGUUUAUUCUGAUGAGAGUCAAAUCCUGCUAGCAUAUUUUGGGAAUUAUAGUUAGUGAUAGUUCAGAAUUGUUGCAAUGUACUCUCCUUAAAAUACAUUUAUUUCUCACUGAUAUAAUAAAAUCACAAAUACAGUGAGCUUCAGUGUUUAUACUUCUGCCUUAAAAACCUAUCUCAUCUGUCGUUUUUGCCCAAGUAGCCUUGUUGGAUGAAUGCUUAAUCUGCUUGAAUGGUGAAAAGGUGCUCCCAGGGUAGAAUUAUUGUUGUUUUCUAACUAUGGAGCAAGUAGGGAAAUUCCACUUGCCCCCUCCUUAA